rnacentral:lncRNA from 1 species
CUCAUCCUUGAUGCACCUCACUUGGUUUAGGUCCCUUGUCUUCUUUUCCCUUGCUCUAGAUAGUUUAUAGAUAUCCAACUCUCCUUCUUUGGUAUCUAGUCGUUUAUACAUAUCGUCGUAAGCCGCUAACUUAGCUUCUCUCACAGCUUUCUUCGCCUCUUGCUUCGCUUUUCUAUACCUUUCACCAUUUUCAUCGGUCCUCUCCUUGUAUAAGGCUUUACAACAUUCCUUCUUAGCCUUCACCU